rnacentral:rRNA from 1 species
UUGAACGCUGGCGGCAUGCCUUACACAUGCAAGUCGAACGGCAGCACGGGUGCUUGCACCUGGUGGCGAGUGGCGAACGGGUGAGUAAUACAUCGGAACGUACCUUAUCGUGGGGGAUAACGCAGCGAAAGCUGUGCUAAUACCGCAUACGCCCUGAGGGGGAAAGCGGGGGAUCGAAAGACCUCGCGCCUUUGGAGCGGCCGAUGUCAGAUUAGGUAGUUGGUGGGGUAAAGGCCUACCAAGCCGACGAUCUGUAGCGGGUCUGAGAGGAUGAUCCGCCACACUGGGACUGAGACACGGCCCAGACUCCUACGGGAGGCAGCAGUGGGGAAUUUUGGACAAUGGGCGAAAGCCUGAUCCAGCCAUGCCGCGUGAGUGAAGAAGGCCUUCGGGUUGUAAAGCUCUUUCGGCUGGGAAGAAAUCGCACAGGCUAAUACUCUGUGUGGAUGACGGUACCAGCACAAGAAGCACCGGCUAACUACGUG